rnacentral:lncRNA from 1 species
GUUGGGAAAUGUGUCCCAAAAAGUCAAUCGUCAAGCUGUUGACGGUUGAGCAACCAAGUAUUGUAAUUGAUUUGUUAAUAAAUAAAAUAUAUUUGGCAUCUUCAUCAUAAGCUUUCAUCUUCUGAUGAACUCCGUUGUUAUGAUGAAGUCCUUAGGACUAUUUAGAUUCGAUAAAGAGAGGAUUUAUCGAUUAUUCCUUAAAACUGUUCACGACCAAAUGAUAGGCUGUUAAUAAGGACGACAGCUUCUAUCGAGCAUAGGUCGCUGUAGGCCAUAUGGGUUGGUUGUCCUCUUAACCAAGGAGUGUGGAGACACUGGUAUGGCAUACAGGUAAGAUGUAAGGGUACAUCAUCAUUGAACGUGACCAACUCC